ACCUCGCCGGUCUCCGGCUUGCUCUUGGUGACGCUGAGCGUGAUGUUGCCCGUGGAGGAGGACGCGUUCUUCACGUUCUCCUUGGCCAACUCCUCCUCGUCUCCUCUGCCUCCGGCGGGUAGCGCCACGGCGUUGUCGUAGCCAGUAGAGCCACCACGGCCCUUUGGGUCGAGGAAAGACGAACCCCUGUAGCUGGGCACGAGGAAGGGCCCGCUGAAGCUCUCGGGCUUGCCGGUGGCGACGAGCUGCUUGACGGUGAAGAGGAAGGGCACGCGCUCGCCUCCGGGGAGCUGCACGGUGACGGCCGCGUAGUCGAUGCCGUCCUUCUCCUCGAACUUGAGGGUGCCGUCGGCGCCGACCUCGAGCGGGCCUUCCAUCUCGUCAAGGGUGUAGGUGAGACGGGUCAUGAGCUUGGUCUUCUGGAAGGCCGGCGGCUCGUUCUUCUGGAUGCCCUCGGCCUUGACGGUGAAGGAGGUGGGCUCCAGGCAGAACUUCUUCAUCUCGUACUUGCCGGCCUUGAAGGGGAAGGAGUCGACGCCGCCGUCGAUGGUCGGGCACUGGUUCGCGGUGCCGGUACCCUUCACCUCCAUGUAGGUCUUGCUCUGGAUCUCGUCGAAGGUCAGCCUCUUGGGC
rnacentral:lncRNA from 1 species